rnacentral:tRNA from 1 species
GGCUCGGUAGUUUAGUUGGUAAAGCGUUCGUCUAGCAUACAAGAGUCCUGGGUUCAAAUCUCAGCCGAGCAC